UACGAAGGGGGCUAGCGUUGCUCGGAAUCACUGGGCGUAAAGGGUGCGUAGGCGGGUCUUUAAGUUAGGGGUGAAAUCCUGGAGCUCAACUCCAGAACUGCCUUUGAUACUGAAGAUCUUGAGUUCGGGAGAGGUGAGUGGAACUGCGAGUGUAGAGGUGAAAUUCGUAGAUAUUGGGAAGAACACCGGUGGCGAAGGCGGCUCACUGGCCCGUUUCUGACGCUCAGGCGCGACAGCGUGGGGAUCAAACAGG
rnacentral:rRNA from 1 species